GACGAACGCUGGCGGCGUGCCUAAUACAUGCAAGUAGAACGCUGAAGAGAGGAGCUUGCUCUUCUUGGAUGAGUUGCGAACGGGUGAGUAACGCGUAGGUAACCCGCCUGGUAGCGGGGGAUAACUAUUGGAAACGAUAGCUAAUACCGCAUAAUAGCAGUUAUUGCAUGAUAACUGUUUGAAAGGUGCAAAUGCAUCACUACCAGAUGGACCUGCGUUGUAUUAGCUAGUUGGUGAGGUAACGGCUCACCAAGGCGACGAUACAUAGCCGACCUGAGAGGGUGAUCGGCCACACUGGGACUGAGACACGGCCCAGACUCCUACGGGAGGCAGCAGUAGGGAAUCUUCGGCAAUGGACGGAAGUCUGACCGAGCAACGCCGCGUGAGUGAAGAAGGUUUUCGGAUCGUAAAGCUCUGUUGUAAGAGAAGAACGAGUGUGAGAGNGGAAAGUUCACACNG
rnacentral:rRNA from 1 species